GAACUUGGCAAUUCAAAUAUUGACUUCUUUUUUUUCUUCCUUUUUUUUUUUUGCUGUAAAGGGAAAUAAACAUACGACCUAUCAACACGCCAGGUACUGAAAGAUAUUAUCUAACUACUAACGUGGUUAUUAGCGUAGACCAGCAAUCACCACGCCAGUGGAUUCAACUUCAAUACGAGAUGUGAGAGCAGUGCUCCAGCAGCAUUACACCCCUGUUAAAGACUAUACAGACUAGGAAAGGCACUGGUGUAAUCUUUAUGCAAGUGUAACACAUUUUGCAAAUGAAUGAAUACACUGUUGCCCAAUAAAGGCACCAGCAAGAGAGCAGAAAGUUUGCA